UCUCCGUAGGUGAACCUGCGGAGGGAUCAUUACUGAGUGAGGGCCCCCGGCCCGACCUCCAACCCUUUGUGUAUCUCGACCCUGUUGCCUCGGGGGCGACCCGGCCUUCGGGCGUCGGGGCCCCCGGCGGACCACUCAACUCUGCAUCUUUGCGUCUGAGUCUUAUAUAUGAAUUAAAUCAAAACUUUCAACAACGGAUCUCUUGGUUCUGGCAUCGAUGAAGAACGCAGC
rnacentral:misc_RNA from 1 species